GACGAACGCUGGCGGCGUGCCUAAUACAUGCAAGUCGAGCGAGCGGCGGACGGGUGCGUAAUGUAUGGGGACUGCCCGAUAGAGGGGGAUAACUACUGGAAACGGUGGCUAAUACCGCAUACUAUCGGAUAACCCAUAUGGGAUUAGCUAGUAGGUGGGGUAAAGGCUCACCUAGGCGACGAUCUCUAGCUGGUCUGAGAGGAUGGUCAGCCAAACUGGAACGGAGACCCGGCACGGCCUCCGCCGGAGGCAGCAGGGGGGAAUAUGGCACAAGGGGCGCAAGCGUGAGGCAGCCAUGCCGCGUGUAUGAAGAGGGCCUUAGGGUUGUAAAGUACUUUCAGCGGGGAGGCGUUACCCUCAGAAGAAGCACCGGCUAACUCCGUGCAAGCAGCCGCGGUAAUAC
rnacentral:rRNA from 1 species